GUUUAGCCGCGUAAUUAAGCCGUGUAAUGUUUAGCCAAACCAAGUCCAGUUUCUCGCCGUUUUGGUAUUUUUGUGUGAAUUCAUUCGUUUCAAAAAGGAUUUCGCGAUCAGAGUGACUGACUCGUUUCACAAUUCUCCCGAAACUGUUACAGAUAAAGUAGUGUUGAGGUGACUUCAAGUAUCCAUUUGCACUGCAGCAUUUGAUUUGUGUAACACAGUAACACAGCCACAAGCUGCCAGGCUUCAGCUGUAAGAUCAACACAGUACAGAACUUCACAACACUGUUUAUUUUCAACACUUCGAUACUUGUCAGGAAAAUUGUUGGAAUCGACUUCCGGCGAGGUGGUCAGCUCCAACCAGGAGGGGAGGUGACUCGAUCAUCUGAGGCGCGGCUCUGUUCCUCGUCCCGAGGAACCAAUUUCAAGGGUGGCCAGGAAGCUGGAGCCACAUCCGCCACAACCUCAAUGUUUAAUUUGGUCAAACUGGAAGGCUCGAAACACUGCGCCACGUCUUUUCCCAGUGUCCCUGAUUCAAGAAGAUCAUCAUCAUCAAUUGGUGUUUCCUGGUGCUAGGCCAGGAAAAUUAUCAAUGCUUUGCAAUCUGGCCAUUCCAAACACGAUCAAGUGCACAGGAAGGUGGCGCGGCAUCAAUCGAAUGGCGAAGAGGAUGAAGAGCAAUAUGUUGCGCCUGCAGGACCCUCCACGACAAGCAGCAUCAGAUGAUGAAGCGCAAAUGCGAGCAGUCUCAGUCCACCAACAGACUGCGAUCUGGAUUUUAGUCUCUUUCUGGUGGACGUCUGGAGCCCAGUCUGAAGCCCCCAAUGGAGGAUCGGGCAGCGACUACCACACAAUUUAUUUGACUAGCCGAUCUCCAGCAGAAGGUUUGCCUCAACAACCGGGACAACCGCCUCCGCUGCCUUACUAAAAUCAGCAAGAAGACGCACUUAAAGCCCUAGUCCAGCAGGAACCCUCCAGAAGGAGUAGCGGAUGCAGUCCGACCACGAGAAGGAAGCGGAGAGCAGCGACAAGAACGGUUCAAUAGAAUGCAAAUG